AACAGCCUUGUGGAUGUAUUCUGCUUUCAACAUUGCAUAUCCACCACACAUGAGAAAGACACUGACUUUCCUUCAGAGGGACAUUAUCAACAUUAGAAGAUGGAGACAAGCACUGUAUGGUUGACUGGAAGUCUGUCAGUCCAGAUGUGAGGAAGACACACAGAGUGGAGCUGGAGCUCAGCAGAUGUGUGAUGCUGUAGAUACUGUGGUCUUGGAAAGAAGGGAUCUUCACAGCUUUCUAUUCAGACGAAGAGUUUGCUGGAUUCUGUUCUAUGGACUGCUACUACAGAAUGAAUGAAUGAAUGAGUGGUUUAUCUAUCUAUCUAUCUAUCUAUCUAUCUAUCUAUCUAUCUAUCUAUCUAUCUUUUUACUUGAAUUGGUGAAUGAAACUGAAAGCUAAAUAAAUGUUUUAGUGGAUAAA